rnacentral:rRNA from 1 species
GACGGGGGAUGCAAGUGUUAUCCGGAAUAAUUGGGCGUAAAGCGUCUGUAGGUGGUUUACCAAGUCUGUUGUUAAAAAUCAGGGCUUAACCCUGAUCGGCAACAGAAACUAGUAGGCUGGAGUACGGUAGGGGCAGAGGGAAUUCUCGGUGUAGUGGUGAAAUACGUAGAUAUCGAGAAGAACACCAAUAGCGAAAGCACUCUGCUGGGCCGAAAACUGACAUUGAGAGACGAAAAGCUAGGGGAGCGAA